CUGUUAGCCGUAUCUCAAUGAAAAGUCAGUACAACUGGAUGGAUCUUUCAAGGCAACACUUUUCACUCUCGUUUUUGCUGUCAUCGAGGGACCUCAGCUAUAGAUUGACACAGUCCACAGCCUAUAAGAAUGGGGUUCUGUUUAGCUGCUGUUUACGGAUUAACCUAUCUUUGUGCUGGCCAAGACUUUCAGAAAACACGUUUUUCUUAUCUGGUAAUCGGUGAGUUCAAAUCCAUAAGCCUGGUUUUUGUCAGAGGAAGAGAGUAGCUGAUGCGCGUGCGUGAAUCGAUCGACCCGGUGCUCACCUUUCAUUUUAUUCCGGCCCUUUCAUCGCAGGAUUUGCAGUUAAGGUGUGAUAUGCAGAUUGAAGAGAGCGGAAGAGACCACAAGAGAAAGCAUCGAGUUUUUGAUUUACGAUGAAAAUUGAUCAUUGAAUAGCUGUUGUCCAAAAUAUUUUGAGACCUCGAAAAAUAAUAUUUUUGUUGAAAUUGUAGUCUAAGAGAUUAGAAGGGGAUGUAAUUAUCACUGACAGCAAUUAUUAGACCCAGAAAGUCCAGUGGCGCCAGGGAUUGAUAAUCUAAGCUGUUAAACGCUGCUUAAACGGAUAAAACAGAACUUUUACCUAAAAAGGAAAUCAAAGCUAUUACGAUUUAGAUCACCCAGGAGAUCUUAGAACGUAACAAAUUCCUGUAUUACGAAGUGGCUCACAAAACGUUUUGAUGCUACAAAUAUUUAGAACAAAGGGCUAAUUAUGGCUAUUCCACUUUUUGAGUGAUUGUGACUUUUAAAAUCUCUCACACGAAAAAGCAGACAAUUUCUAUGCUCAAAAUAACCAAACCUGUUUCUUUUUUUGAAGGAUUCCCAUGUAAG